UCCACAUCUUUUGCUUUUUUAGAGGCAACUGCAGCUGUUAAAACAACUGUGUCUCCAUAUCUCACUAAAACAGAUCCAUUAGCUUGUUUUGCUAACUGACCAAUUUCGACAGAUAAAGGACGUCCUCCCCAAGUUGUUUCGAAUACUCUUUUUUCAGAAUUCAACAUUUUAUAAUCUCCUUAUAUCGCACAGAUGAUA
rnacentral:ncRNA from 1 species